rnacentral:tRNA from 1 species
GCCCAAGUGGCGGAAUGGUAGACGCAGGGGAUUCAAAAUCCCCCGCCUUAACAGGCGUGCCGGUUCGAGUCCGGCCUUGGGUACCA